rnacentral:rRNA from 1 species
AACGAACGCUGGCGGCAGGCCUAACACAUGCAAGUCGAGGGGGAAGCCACUUUCGGGUGGUGGAGACCGGCGCACGGGUGAGUAACGCGUGGGCACCUGCCCUGGGGUGGGGGACAACCGCUGGAAACGGCGGCUAAUACCGCAUACGCCCUAUUUUCGUAGAGGAGAUGGGGGAAAGAUUUAUCGCCCUGGGAUGGGCCCGCGUUGGAUUAGCUUGUUGGUGGGUAAAGGCCUACCAAGGCGACGAUCCAUAGCUGGUCUGAGAGGAUGAUCAGCCACACUGGGACUGAGACACGGCCCAGACUCCUACGGGAGGCAGCAGUGGGGAAUAUUGGACAAUGGGGGCAACCCUGAUCCAGCCAUGCCGCGUGCGUGAAGAAGGCUUUAGGGUUGUAAAGCGCUUUCACCGGUGACGAUGAUGACGGUAGCCGGAGAAGAAGCCCCGGCUAACUCCGUG